rnacentral:tRNA from 1 species
UAAAUUAUAGCUAUAUAAGUAUUUUAUUAACAUUAAAAAGAAAAGUUUUCCUUUAUUUUAU